rnacentral:rRNA from 1 species
CCUACGGGUGGCAGCAGUGAGGAAUAUUGGUCAAUGGACGAGAGUCUGAACCAGCCAAGUAGCGUGAAGGAUGACUGCCCUAUGGGUUGUAAACUUCUUUUAUCUGGGAAUAAAACGUUCCACGUGUGGGAUUUUGUAUGUACCAUAUGAAUAAGGAUCGGCUAACUCCGUGCCAGCAGCCGCCGUAAUACGGAGGAUCCGAGCGUUAUCCGGAUUUAUUGGGGUUUAAGGGAGCGUAGGUGGAUUGUUAAGUCAGUUGUGAAAGUUUGCGGCUCAACCGUAAAAUUGCAGUUGAAACUGGCAGUCUUGAGUACAGUAGAGGUGGGCGGAAUGCGUGGUGUAGCGGUGAAAUGCUUAGAUAUCACGAAGAACUCCGAUUGCGAAGGCAGUUCACUGGACUGCAACUGACACUGAGGCUCGAAAGUGUGGGUAUCAAACAGGAUUAGAUACCCCAGUAGUC